rfam:Capsicum annuum cultivar Zunla-1 chromosome 2, whole genome shotgun sequence
UACCUGGUUGAUCCUUCCAGGAGUCAUAUACUCUUCUCAAAUAUUAAGCCAUACAUGUGUAAGUAUAAACAAAUUCAGACUGUGAAACUGCGAAUGGCUCAUUAAAUUAGUUAUAGUUUGUUUGAUGGUAUCUACUACUUGGAUAACCGUAGUAAUUCUAAAGCUAAUACAUGCAACAAACCCUGACUUAUGGAAGGGCUGCAUUUAUUAGAUAAAAGGUCAACGUGAUCUUAGCCCAUUUCUACGAUGAUUCGUCAUAACUCAACGGAUCGCGCAGCCAUCGUCCUGGCGACGCAUCAUUCAAAUUUUGUACGCUAUAAACUAUCAAUGAUAGGAUAGGUGCCUACCAUGAUGGUGACGGAUGAUGGAGAAUUAGGGUUCAAUUCUGGAGAGGGAGUUUGAGAAAUGGCUACCAUAACUAAGCAAGGCAGCAGGCGCGCAAAUUACCCAAUCCUAACAUGGGGAGGUAGUGACAAUAAAUAACAAAACCGGGCUCAAUGAGUCUGGUAAUUGUAAUGAGUACAAUCUAAAUCCCUUAAAAAGGAUCCAUAGAAGGACAAAUUUGAUACCAACAGCUGCGGUAAUUUCAGCUUUAAUAGCAUAUAUUUACGUUGCUGCAAUUAAGAAACUCGUAGUUGGACCAUGGGUUGGGCUAGUUGGUCCGCCUAUGGUGUGCAUUGGUUGUCUCGUCCCUUCUGUCAGUGAUGCACUCCUAGCCUUAACUGGCCGAGUCAUGCCUCCAGCACUGCUAAUUUGAAGAAAUUAGAGUGCCUAAAGCUAGCCUACGCUCUGUAUACAUUAGCAUGGGAUAACAUUAUAGGAUUUCGGUCCUAUUUCGUUGGCCUUCGGGAUCAGAGUAAUGAUUAACAGGGAUAUUCGGGGGCAUUCGUAUUUCAUAGUCAGAGGUGAAAUUCUUGGAUUUAUUAAAUACGAACAACUGCGAAAGCAUUUUCAAAAGAUGUUUUCAUUAAUCAAGAACGAAAGUUGGGGUCUUGAAAAUGAUCAGAUUAACCAUAAAUGAUACCAACCAGGGAUUAGUGAAUGUUGCUUUUAGGCCUCUGCCAGCACCUUAUGGGAAAUCAAUAUUUUUGGGUUCCGGGGGGAAUAUGGUCGCAAGGAUGAAACUUAAAGGAAUUGACGGAAGGGCACCACCAGAAGUGGAGCCUGUGACUUAAUUUUACUCAACAUGGGGAAACUUACUAGGUCCAUACAUAGUAAGGAUUGACAGACUGAGAGAUCUUUCUUGAUCCUAUGGGUGGUGAUGCUUGGCCAUUCAGAGUUAGUAGAGAGAUUUUUCUGGUUUAUUCUGUUAACGAAAGAGACCUCAUCCUGCUAACUAUCUAUGCGGAGGUAUCCCUUUGGGGCCAGCUUCUUAGAGGGACUACAACCUUUUAGGCUACAGAGGUUUGAGGAAAUAAUAGGCCUAUGAUGCCCUUAGAUAUUCUGGGCUGCACGCGUGCUACACUUAGGUAUUCAAUGAGUUUAUAGCCUUGACCGACAGGCCCGGGUAAUCUUUGAAAUUUCAUCGUGAUGGGGAUAGUUCAUUGCAAUUGUUGGUCUUUAAUGAGGAAUUCCUAGUAAGCGUGAAUCAUUAGCUCUCAUUGACUACGUUCCUGUACUUUGUAAGCACCGCCCAUCACUCUUACCGAUUGAAUAAUCCAGUGAAAUGUUUGGAUUAAGGCGACGUGGGGGGGUUUUCUUUCUGCAAAGUCGCUAGAAGUCCAUUGAACCUUUUCAUUUAGAUGAAGGAGAAUUCGUAACAAGGUUUCCUUAGGUGAACCUUUGGAAGGAUCAUAU